UACGAAGGACCCAAGCGUUAUCCGGAUUCAUUGGGUUUAAAGGGUGCGUAGGCGGAACGAUAAGUCAGUGGUGAAAUCCUGCGGCUCAACUGCAGAACUGCCAUUGAUACUGUCGAUCUUGAGUACAUUUGAUGUGGGCGGAAUGUGCCAUGUAGUGGUGAAAUACUUAGAUAUGGUACAGAACACCGAUCGCGAAGGCAGCUCACAAAACUGUAACUGACGCUGAGGCACGAAAGCGUGGGGAUCAAACAGG
rnacentral:rRNA from 1 species